rnacentral:rRNA from 1 species
UCCAGACUCCUACGGGAGGCAGCAGUGAGGAAUAUUGGUCAAUGGCCGCAGGGCUGAACCAGCCAAGUCGCGUGAGGGAUGACGGUCCUAUGGAUUGUAAACCUCUUUUGUCAGGGAGCAAAGGGCGCCACGUGUGGCGUUUUGCGAGUACCUGAAGAAAAAGCAUCGGCUAACUCCGUGCCAGCAGCCGCGGUAAUACGGAGGAUGCGAGCGUUAUCCGGAUUUAUUGGGUUUAAAGGGUGCGCAGGCGGAAUGUCAAGUCAGCGGUAAAAUUUCGGGGCUCAACCCCGUCGUGCCGUUGAAACUGGUUUUCUUGAGUGAGCGAGAAGUAUGCGGAAUGCGUGGUGUAGCGGUGAAAUGCAUAGAUAUCACGCAGAACUCCGAUUGCGAAGGCAGCAUACCGGCGCUCAACUGACGCUCAUGCACGAAAGUGUGAGUAUCGAACAGGAUUAGAUACCCCCGUAUC